UCUCCUCCCCUCGGAAGUCCCUGGGGCGUUAGCGGUUCUGUUAACGCCUAGAUUAGACUCCUUAUCACACACCCAUCGAAUUCUCACUGUAAUGAGCCUUGCAAGGUGUUUUAUACCCAGCUAGAGAGAUGGCCUGGAGCAACACAUCAACUUGUUCCCUCCCUGCCCAGUGCCCGGUAAACCCUCAUUUAUCAGGAUGUCUGGUCUUCCAGAACUGCUAGCCUGUCAGCAUCUUCAGCAUCUUCAGCAGGCAAGCGACUGUGGUAGGGGCGGGAUGAGGAGAACGCUCGGGUACAACUUUGAGAAUGUGCGGGCUUCUUGCUGUGGGCUGGACACCCAGUUUGUCUAUUCUAUCGGUGGAGUCCAACGCUUCCUCUGUAAGGAAGCGCUUUAUGAACAACCCUACAGGUCCAAGUCUUGGGGGAGGCUGGGUGGUCUGAAACUGCAACAGAGGUGCCUGAGCCCAAGUCUGUCUUUCUUUUUUUGUUUGUUUGUUUGUUUUUCAAGACAGGGUUUCUCUGUAUAGCCCUGGCUGUCCUGGAACUCACUCUGUAGACCAGGCUGGCCUCGAACUCAGAAAUCCGCCUGCCUCUGCCUCCUGGGAUUACAGGCGUGCACCACCACCCAGCUGAGCCCAAGUCUUUAGAAACAAUGCUCUGAGCCCCGCCGCCAUCUCCCUUCCUUCCAAGGGCCAGGCUUCCGCGGACAGGAAAGCUUCCAACCUUGCCCCCAAGAGGCAAGAUUCGCAUCCCGCGCCCGCUAAGUCUUCCGCUGGGGGUCUUGGGCGCCACCUGCCGGCCGGACGCAGAUCACACUCGCCAGAAAAUUGCAUACCCCCCUGCCCCAAACCAGUACAAAUUAACCAGGCAA